rnacentral:rRNA from 1 species
UGGGCAACCUGCCCCUCUCUCUGGGAUAACCCCGGGGAAAACCGGAGCUAAUACCGGAUACUCCGGCUGGAUCGCAUGGUCCGGCCGGGAAAGGUCCGCCGGAGAGGGAUGGGCCCGCGGCCUAUCAGCUUGUUGGUGGGGUCAUGGCUCACCAAGGCGACGACGGGUAGCUGGUCUGAGAGGACGACCAGCCACACUGGAACUGAGAUACGGUCCAGACCUCCGUACGGGAGGCA